AGCAGCCGCGGUAAUUCCAGCUCCAAUAGCGUAUAUUAAAGUUGUUGCAGUUAAAAAGCUCGUAGUUGAACCUCGGGAUCAAUGGAUCGGUCAUGCCAUCGGUAUGUACUGGUCUCAUUGGUUCUCACCUUCUAAGGAACCAUGAUGUCAUUCAUUUGAUGUUGUGGGGAAUUAGGACUGUUACCUUGAAAAAUUAGAGUGUUUAAAGCAGGCUAACGCUUGAAUACAUUAGCAUGGAAUAAUGAAAUAGGACAUCGCAUUCUAUUUUGUUGGUUUCUAGGAUCGAUGUAAUGAUUAAUAGGGAUAGUUGGGGGCAUUAGUAUUCAAUUGUCAGAGGUGAAAUUCUUGGAUUUAUUGAAGACUAACUACUGCGAAAGCAUUUGCCAAGGAUGUUUUCAUUAAUCAAGAACGAAAGUUAGGGGAUCGAAGACGAUCAGAUACCGUCGUAGUCUUAACCAUAAACUAUGCCGACUAGGGAUCGGAUGAUGUUGU
rnacentral:rRNA from 1 species